rnacentral:rRNA from 1 species
UUAACCCAAAGAAAAAGCACCGGCUAACUCUGUGCCAGCAGCCGCGGUAAUACAGAGGGUGCGAGCGUUAAUCGGAAUUACUGGGCGUAAAGCGCGCGUAGACGGUUUUGUAAGUCAGAUGUGAAAUCCCUGGGCUCAACCUGGGAACUGCAUUUGAUACUGCAUGGCUAGAGUAUCGAAGAGGGAAGUGGAAUUUCCGGUGUAGCGGUGAAAUGCGUAGAUAUCGGAAGGAACACCAGUGGCGAAAGCGACUUCCUGGUCGAAUACUGACGUUCAUGUGCGAAAGCGUGGGGAGCAAACAGGAUUAGAUACCCUGGUAGUCCGCGCCAUAAACGAUGACAACUAGA